rnacentral:sRNA from 1 species
CACACCCGGGCUUGACAAAGCUGUUCUGCAGAUCAGAAAAAGGGGUUCCUGGUCAUACACCAGUACUACCAAGGACAGCUUUUUUCCUACAAGAUCUGUUACGUAAAGCAAUAAAAAAUGGCCAGAGGAUCAGUGUCCGAUGAGGAAAUGAUGGAGCUCAGAGAAGCUUUUGCCAAAGUUGGUGAGUAGACCUGGCACCCCAAAUUGCAUCACUCUCUUCUUCACUGAGUAGCUUCAGGGUAGAUUCAAUGAAAUGGGAACAUGAGCAAAAUUUCAGAGAUGACAAGAAACCAGUAGUAUUCAUUUAGAGGAGCUGGGAGAACUUAUUUUUGAAAGAUAUGUUUCAAUAAAAUGACUUUCUCUAUCAAAACAUGGAAUAUGGGCUCUACUCUUACGUAGUUUGUUCCUGGAACUGGGUCGUAAGUCUCAUCUUUUAUAUCUUGUCUUCUUUUUUGCUGUUUCCUUUAUUUUAAUACCAUCACAUACUUUCUCUUACUCUUUAUCACUAAACCUGUGGUUUCCUUAAGAGUUUCUAUAAGAGUUCUUUGUGGAAACAGAGGUACCUUAUAGAAAUUAUGACUCUUUUACUGUGGAUGUUGAAAGUAAUGCUAGUGCCCCUAUUUAGUAGCAACAGGUGUCUUGUGAGAUUCUGAGUCUUCCCUGGGAUCAUGCCUCAAUGCCUGAAUGAUAGCCUCUCUCAUCCCUUCACCUUCCAUCUAGUCUUCCCUCACCUCUCUAAAAGUUGUUGCCUGAAUUGUCCUGAA